UGCAUUUCUGACGGUGGCCCAGUUACCAGAUUUUGAAAUUUCCUCAUCUCUCCCUGUAUUCUCUAAUGAAAAGCUGGGGGUGCAGAUAACAUAAGCAAGUGGUAGGCAGUUAAUAACUUACUAACUCAGUGACAUGCUGGUUAAUAAAAUAGUCUCUAAAGGUUUUUCGUUUUUGUUUUAACUUUAACUAGCUUUAUCAAAUGUAGGCUUAUAUUGGUAUUAUUUAGAGGAAAAAGUACUAAAGACAAAUCAUGUUUACUUCAUUGGAAUGUAAAGGUGGAAUACAUUUUAUUUAUUUUUAUUUUAUUUAUAUUUUGUAAAUGUUUAUUUGAGAGAGAGAGAGAGAGCGCACACAAGCAGGGACAGGGGCAGAGAGAGAGGGAGAGAGAGAAUCCCAAGCAGGCUCUGCACUGUCAGCACAGAGCCUGAUGUGGGGCUUGAACCCACAAACCCGUGAGGUCAUGACAUGAGCUGAGAUCAAGAGUUGGAUGCUUAACCAACUGAGCCACCCAGGUGCCCCCUGGGAUACAUUUUAACCUAAUAAUUAAAUAGGAUAUGAUUUGUAUAUUAUGAAAAUGUGUAACACAGCUCUCAUUGAGAAGGUUGGGGAAGAUGCGGGACUCAUAGGCCAAGUUAGGGAUGGGUAUUAAACUACUAUAAAAUACAUGAGAAACAUGUUUGACCAGAAGGUACUACCUGUAUUUUGAAUUUAGUGAAAAGAGUACUCAACUAGGGCUACCUGGAAAUAGAAAACAAAGCAAAGUGAAAAAUCAUCCAUUGAACCCGGAAGAUCUUUCCUUUUCAUUCCGCAUUGGGAAUUUGUAUUUUUUUUAAAAUUUUUUUUAACGUUUACUUAUUUUUGAGACAGAGAGAGACAGAGCAUGAAUGGGGGAGGGGCAGAGAGAGGGAGACACAGAAUCUGAAACAGGCUCCAGGCUCUGAGCUGUCAGCACAGAGCCUGACGCGGGGCUCGAACUCACGGACCGCGAGAUCAUGACCUGAGCCGAAGCCGACCGCUCAACCGACUGAGCCACCCAGGCGCCCCGGGAUUUUGUAUUUUUGCAAUGGGUUGCAAAAGAGUUCUGUUCUAGAGUCAACGCAGACUUGCUAAAUUUAAGUUUUUGGGAUCUACUUAAUGCAUUUUUAUUGAGGUUUAAUUGACAUGUAACAGUUUCAAGUGUACGUUGUUCUAAUUUGAUGUUUGUAUAUAUUGUGAAAUGAUUACCACAUAAGUCUUACUGGGUCUUAAAAAGGUAUUUUCAUGAAGAACACUGCUCUGGAUGCUCACUUUAUAUGAUUAUUAUAGGUCUUGAGUUCACUAAAUGCAACUUCAAAAUCAUCCAGUAGGAAAUUCCUUUGUGUAGUAAAAUUUUCGUUUCUAGUAUCCACGAUUAAGUGGGCAGGAGAAUAGUUUAGAGGUAAGAAUAAUAAACUCAUUCUGGAGAGCUGAAUACUAAUAUCUAUUACACUUAUUUUUGUGACCUUGGGUAAAUCACUUUGCCUGUUUUUGUAAAAUAAGAGGGAUUGGCCUAAAUUAUGUCUGAAGUCCCACAUGUGUUAACAUGGUGUGAUAUCAAUGUCUUUGGUGUCAUAUUUUAUUUUCUUAUAUACUUAGGGCCCAUAUUUUUAUGUUAGAACUGAAUUCUUCAACAGGUUCAUUACAAAAAAAUUUGAAUAUCUCCCACAUUACUUGCACAAGAAAAAUCUUUUUGAGAAGUUAAUAAAAAAUAUUUUUAAAGAGUAAGGAUUUAAAAAACAUUUUUUUAAGUUUAUUUAUUUUUGAGAGAGAGAGAAAGAGAGAGGGACGGAGGCGCAGAGGGAAAGGGAGGGAAUCCCAAGCAAGCUCCUGACUGUCAGCGUAGAGCCCAAUAUGGGACUUGACCCCAUGACCCUGAGAUUAUGACCUGAGCAGAAAUCAAGAGAUGGUCACUCAGCCAACUGAGCCAGCCAGGCGCCCCACUGAGUAAGGAUUUUAAUGAGUAAGAAGUGUAGUUAUAACAAAUGUGAUUCCUACAUGUUGACUAGAAGAGCCGUUUCAAAAAUUACCAUUUACCAUAGUAAGGAAUAUUGGAACUAAAAAUGAUGGUGCAAAAUAUAACAAAUGAAGAGGUUCUGUUCCUGUUACCAGUAAUAAUUUUUUUAAGGUAAACUUCUUAAAGUAUGAGAUACAGACUGGAAAGUGAAAGGUUGUACAAAUACCCUUUUGUGAAUUUUCACCAAGUAAAUCUGCCAUGUCACGAACACCCAUACAAAGAAACAGAACAUUACCACUACCUUCUAAACCUUUCCCUCCUACCUGUCCAAGUCAGUGCCCUCCACCAAGCAUACCUGGCUUUUACACUAGAAACAGUUUUACUUGCUUUUGAAUAUGGAAUCCAUUGGCUUUAUUUUCAAGGCUGCAUUCAUGAGAUUCAUCUGUGUUGUUGCAUGUGAAGAUAGUUCAUUCAUGUCUCUUAUUACACAAUGUUUCUGUAGUGUGACUGGGCCACAACUUAUCUGUUCUGUUGCAUAUUUGGGUUAUUUUUACUCUUGGGCUGCAUGUCUUUUGGUGUGCUAUGUACAGAUUUCUGUUGGGUGCAUACUAGAGGUGGGACUAGUGGAUGGCAGGGAGUGCGUAUGUUCAGCUUAUCUUGUAGCUCCUGCUAGACACUUUCCAGAAAUGUUGGUUCUUUUUCUUUUUUAAUCGAAGUACAGUUGACAUUGAAAUGUUGCUUCUUUAUAUUCCCAGUAGCGGUUUUUGAGAGUUCCAUUUGUUCCAUCUCUUUACCAGCACUUGAGAUUGUCUUUUUCGUUUUUCAGUCUUCCUGGUGAUAUGGCAUUGUGGUUUCAGUUUUUAUUUCCCUGAUGACUACUGAAGUUGAGCACUUUUUAAAAAUAUGUUUGCUAUUCAUCUGGAGUCCUAAAAUAAUUGUAUGACACUGUAUGUAAACGCACUUUAAAAUUAAUUAAACCUUAGGUCAGGGACGUUGCAAAUUAGAUAGUGUCUAAAACAUUGGGUGUCCUCACUUGCGCUAAUACCGUAUUUGAUAAAUUGUGGAAAUCUUUGAAAAUCUUUUCUAGCUUAAUGAAACUGCUUUCUGUAUUUCAAACCAUAAAAUUCAUUUUAAAUGCUUAUCUUUUAAGUGUUCUUAAGACUACUGAUACAAUUUUGGGUGGGUGGGGGGAACUAUCAAAAUGAGGUAGUUUAAAGAAACAGCAUCCACUGUUUUCCCAGGAAACAAAUACCAGCCAUUGUAGAAAAUGUAUGUAAAGUCGAUCUAAUUUUAGUUUUAGUAAAGGUCAAUUAGAACCUUAUCUUUUAACACAGAAUUUGAGAUUUCCUUGAGCAGUCUUUGAGAGCUGUGUUUCGGAGGCGCAGACUAACUUUUCCAUGUGUUCCUUACAUUUUCCAGCUUUCCAGGCACUUACGUUGGAUCCAAAUAGCCAGUUUCUGGCCAAUGGACUGUGAGGGAAAGUAUUAUGUGUCAUUUUGGGCUGAGGCAGUGUACUUCCCCCACUUGAUCUUUCCUCUCACCCCUGUGACCUUGGGGGCCGUGUGCGCCAAAGUCAUGCAUGAAGCCGGCCAACACUUGUCUGCGGGAGCUGUCUAUAUUCGCUAACUGUAUUCGCUAAGUACAGUUUCGUUUCAGUAAAUGGUCUAAUAACACUUUUUCCAAAAGAUACUCUGAAACCCUGACAUAUUUUUAUGUACAGGCUUUGGUGAACAGAAUGCUUGCUGUCUUUCUUAAAUACUAGAGUUCAGAGGAUACAUCAUCUUAAGGGGAGAAAAGUUUCUAAUGAGAAAAGCAGGAAGACCAGAAUUUGUUUUGCUAUAGGACCAAAAGAGAAGAAAACAGAAAAGCAGACACUUUCUUUCUGAUUCCCUAAGAGAUGUAUUUAUCAUUUACAUAGAAUCUCAACUUUAUGUGAUCUUAACUGGUUCACUUUUUUAAAAAAUAUUUUUAAAUUUUCAACUUAGCGAGGUGACAACUCUCAUAGGAGGCACGUGUCCCAGAAUAGAUUGACAGAUUAUGAAAUAAGUGUGGUAGUCUUUAAGUAUUUACUGAAUAUUGUGACUACAAAGAAGUCAUGGCCUAGUUGAGAUGAAAAAUAUUUUAUUAAAAAAAAGCAUCUUUCAUCUUCAACUACCAUUUUAAUUUUUUUGCACAAAAGCAAUUUCUUUGAAAAACUCUCAUUUGUUUAUGUCUUACUCUUGGUUUUGCUUUAGAAAGAAUUCCCAGCAACCAAAUGUAAACCUGAGUUAGUAUGGACGUCAGAGGCAUUUUAUAUAUCAUCUGGUCUGCUAACCUUCUUGUAUUAAAUUACUCAAACAACAUUAGUAGAAAACUUUGGCAAUGCGAGCUCCAUAACAACGGGGAAAUGAGAGGACAAAAUUGAAAUGAAUAAAAAGCAUGUGAUAAAAAUAUGCAACACUCUCACUGACCUAUUUAAAUAUUUUGUGAAGGAUUAUUGUUGGACCAUGUUCUAUCAACUUGUAGGAAGACCUUCAUUCCCUCUGUUUAACCUCUUUAUAGUUAUUGUCAAGAUUAAUGUUCUUGCACAUCCAUUUUCACAGGUAUGUGUGGUAAGACUGUCACUGACUGAAAGGUUUUAGUUAAACAGCAUCAGUAUGGGAAACAAAGAUAAAUGCUCUUUAAUAAGUUAUUACAAUAGUCUUUUACUGGUGUUCUUGGAAAUAGGAAAUAGAUCUAAUGCCACUUUUUGUGUCAUUUGAUUUGUUUCAAGAGGAAGGGAACCAUGCAAGGAAACAAGAAUCAAUAAUGUCCAAAGACUAUUUUUUUUUUUUACAGAAAAAAUACAGGGACUGUAUGUUUUCUUAAAACAAAGGGCAUGACAUGAAAACUUAACACUCUAAGUCUUUUCUUUUUUUAAUACAAGAAAUUGUAUUUACUUAGAAGCAAUCAGAAUGUCAACAAACAGUGGCAGCUUGUGUGUGUGUGUGUGUGUGUGUGUGUGUGUGUGUGUGUGUGUGUGUCUGUGAGUUUGCAGAGUGGUAUUCAGAACAACAGUCAUCUCAUAGAAGCUACAUCAGAGGCGGCUGAAGACGAAAAC